rnacentral:rRNA from 1 species
AGUGAACGCUGGCGGUAGGCCUAACACAUGCAAGUCGAACGGCAGCACAGUAAGAGCUUGCUCUUACGGGUGGCGAGUGGCGGACGGGUGAGGAAUACAUCGGAAUCUACUUUUUCGUGGGGGAUAACGUAGGGAAACUUACGCUAAUACCGCAUAUGAUCUACGGGUGAAAGCAGGGGAUCUUCGGACCUUGCGCGACUGAAUGAGCCGAUGUCGGAUUAGCUAGUUGGCGGGGUAAAGGCCCACCAAGGCGACGAUCCGUAGCUGGUCUGAGAGGAUGAUCAGCCACACUGGAACUGAGACACGGUCCAGACUCCUACGGGAGGCAGCAGUGGGGAAUAUUGGGCAAUGGGCGCAAGCCUGAUCCAGCAAUGCCGCGUGAGUGAAGAAGGCCUUCGGGUUGUAAAGCCCUUUUGUUGGGAAAGAAAAGCAGCAGGUUAAUACCCCGCUGUUCUGACGGUACCCAAAGAAUAAGCACCGGCUAACUUCGUG